GAAGCUUGAUUCUGACUGCUGAAUGGCUGAUGACAGCCUCAACCUUGUAAGGGCAGAUGAAAUGGGGAGCUAGCUUACAAGAGAGGGCCUUUCAGAGGAAUGUCCUUAGCUGCUAGCCAUGCAUUUUGUCCAGGUUCAAAGUUGGGAGCAGCUGUUCAGAAGGCAAUCUGCAUAGUGGCGCUGCUAAUCAAUGGUCCAGAGGAGGAUGUUGCGGUUCUCCUCAUUCCAGGGUGGCAGAUGAACUUGGCGGUGUGAGCCCAGUGAAUGACGGCAGAGUGAGCAGAGAUAGGAACGUAUUUAGUGGGUCGGUAUCUGGGUCUGGCACGUUCUAUAAUUAAUUAAGCCUCUUGGUGGUUCUCAGGAGUGAGGCAGCAAAAGAAGAAAGCAGUCCUACCAAGUAGAAGAGUUUGGUGACAUUGUCGGGGAAAGAGCAAGGUGGGAUCAUAUCACAGACCAUGCUGGACCAUACUGAGCAUGCUUAGGUGUUGGCAUUUAUACACCUGUAGCCAUGGAAAUGACUGGAACACCUGAAUUCAAUGAUUUGUAUGGGGCUAGAGCCUACACCAGCUAUUCCAGGCAGGGCACACUUGAACAGAUCACCUGGACAGGUCUUGGAGCACAC